AUUCACCUAGAGGACUUACAGGGCCACACAUUCAUGAGCACAUGUGAGCAGUAUACAAUGUACCUCAUACCAAAAAGAACCCGGAGGCAGUGACUGGUGUUCAAUAUUCUCAGAAGAAAAGGAAAAUGGCAGUGGAAGACUUGGACAAACAUUUUUUAAAACUAGCCUCUGUGUUAAGCCUGGCAGUCUGUGGCUGGUGACAUGUUUUAUUUGGGUUACUUCUUGUAUAAAAAAGACCAGUUAUUUAUUUUGUGAAUUAUAUUUUGUGUUUGUUUUUUGUCUUAAUUUAUUAUAUUUUUUUUAAUUUAGGAAUUUGAAACUUGGAUAAUUGAAUAAAGUCCGUGUUCAACAGUACUGAGCAUAGUAUAAUAAAUAACAAAUUUACAACAGUUGUUAAUUUGUUAUGUAUUAUUAUUAACUAUGCUCAGUACUUGAAUACUGGCUGUCUGCAUGGGAAUUUGUUUUCUAGAAAGUUGGUUUCAGACUUAAAUAUUUGAAGUUAACCUUCGGAACUUUUCUAGAAUUGUACUGGAACACAUCAACUAAAACUGAACUUCUGUUAUCAUACUAAAAGUGUUCUAGAAUUAAUAAGGAACAGUUGUUGAACGUUAAAAUUUAUGAGAAAAAACUCAAGAACAAUUCUGCGUGAUGUGUGUGUGUGCAUGUAAUUGUGUGUGUUUAUGAACAUAUGUGAGAAAGGAUGUAUACUUGUCACAAGAUAAAUGUAAAAUUCUACUUCUAUGUUUUAUAUUGUGCCUUUUAUAAGUUUUUCUUUUCUCACCUGUAUAUGCGUGCAUGUUUAUGGAUGUGUUUUUGAAUGUGUGUGUGCAUGCCUGUGGUUAAGAGAGUAGGUACUUUAUGAAAAUGUAAAACCACUCAUUUUUGAAUAUGUACUGUGACUGCACGUGUGUGGUUAAUGAUUGAUGCUAUAUCUUGUUCUUGUUUAACUUCUAUGAUGAAACCUUUAGUUACAUUCACAUUUGUUUUUCAAAAUCAACGAAAUGCCUUUAAUCUAUAA